AGGUCCUAUGAGGUCUCUAUCCUAGUCCUCUAUGCAUGUUGUCUAUAGGGUCGCUAAUGGGUGCUACUAGGCGGUCUCUAUGGGUCUCUAUUGGUCUCUAUGUGUGUCUAUGGGUUGCUAUGGGUCGCUGUGGGUUUUUCUAUGGGUCAAUGUCUCUCUAUGGGUCGCUGUGUCUCCUUAUGUAUCUCAGUGUCUCUCUAUGUGUCUCUAUGGGGUCUCAGUGUCUCCCUAUGGGUCCCUAUGUCUCUCUAUGGGGUUACUAUGGGUCCCAAUGUGUCCCUAUGUGUCUCUAUGGGUCUCAAUGUGUCCCUAUGGGUCUCACUGUGUCCCUAUGUCUCUCUAUGUGUCCCUAUGGGUCA
rnacentral:lncRNA from 1 species